GAGUUUGAUCAUGGCUCAGAUUGAACGCUGGCGGCAUGCCUUACACAUGCAAGUCGAACGGCAGCACGGGGGCAACCCUGGUGGCGAGUGACGAACGGGUGAGUAAUACAUCGGAACGUGUCCUGUAGUGGGGGAUAGCCCGGCGAAAGCCGGAUUAAUACCGCAUACGAUCUGCGGAUGAAAGCGGGGGCUCCUUCGGGACCUCGCGCUACAGGGGCGGCCGAUGGCAGAUUAGCUAGUUGGUGGGGUAAAGGCCUACCAAGGCGACGAUCUGUAGCUGGUCUGAGAGGACGACCAGCCACACUGGGACUGAGACACGGCCCAGACUCCUACGGGAGGCAGCAGUGGGGAAUUUUGGACAAUGGGCGAAAGCCUGAUCCAGCAAUGCCGCGUGUGUGAAGAAGGCCUUCGGGUUGUAAAGCACUUUUGUCCGGAAAGAAAACCUCGUGGUUAAUACCCGUGGGGGAUGACGGUACCGGAAGAAUAAGCACCGGCUAACUACGUACCAGCAGCCGCGGUAAUACG
rnacentral:rRNA from 1 species